rnacentral:lncRNA from 1 species
AACUAGUUUCCCUGAGGCCAGGUGUUCUUAAGAAGGACAUAGUGCUCUGAUGUAUGUCACAAAGGUUCCUUUCCCCUUCCCCUGCCAGAAGCAGGAGGGGGUUUUUCUCCAACAUAUUGUGGCAAUCUAGUUGAGCUCCUGGAAGUAAAUCUCACAAAACUGUGGUGCCUUGCCGUGACUGGGUCGCCCUCGGGUUUAUAGCUCUCAGUUUUGUCCACACUGAGCCUCCAUCAACUCAUCAAUUACAGCUCUGGCUUUCCUGCCCCGGCCCUGCUUCCUGUGGUGGUUUUAGCUGUGAAUCUCUGCUCUGGAUGAACACGUCUUGUCUUUUCGACUCUGUUCUCAUUGCAACAAACACAGGAAAGGAGAAGAAAGGGACACAGCCCCCGGGCUCACUUGUGAGACAGUUGAAGAAAGACAUGACUGUGCUUGCCCUCACUCAGCUGGCAUACUAUUCAACAGGAGACUAUGCACGUGUGUUUAACUAGAUAGCGUGCAGUGAAACAGCAAAGCACUUGCUGCCGGAUAGUCGUGGGAGGAGGAAGAAAAUGAUUUGGCUUUCUUUUAUUAAAUACAGGAUAUUGAACUCCCUUCAGUUAAGAUAGUAACCUAUUUACAUGUUUGAUAUUUAAAUGUGCCUCUUUAAAGCACAGGACAGUUUAAAAUUAAAAAGAAAAAAAACCCACAACUUAUCAGAUUGGCAAAAAUGCAAAAGUUUGACAACAUACUAUGUUUGGUAAGGCUGUGGGAAAGAAGCAGUCUCACAUUUUGCUGGCGGAAAAGCAGAGUGUUACAUCACCUGUGGAAGGGAAUUUGGCCCUUUCCAGAAAACUUACAUAUGAAUGUGAGCUUCCAUUUCUAGAAUCUAUCCUUAAAAAACACUGGCAAAAAUAUUAAAAACAUAUAAAAUAGAGGAAGAUGGGCAUGGAUGUUAGCUCAGGGCCAGUCUUCCUCAGCAAAAAAGAGGAAGACGGGCAGCAGAUGUUAGCUCAGGGCUAAUCUUUCUUCAAAAAGAAAAAAAUACAAAAAACAUAAUUAUUAGGCUAUGCACUACAGGCCUAUUUGUAAUAGCAAAAGACUGGAAACAACCCAGAUGUCCUCAGUGGGCUUCCAGUUAAUAAACAACGGUGCAGUCAAAGGGCAUGUCCUUGUAAAGGGAAAGGAGGAAUAUUUUGAUAUGUUGCUGUGCAGUGAUCUCUGAAUUUAUUGUUAAGUGAAAAAAAGAAGAAUGUAUGUAAUGUGUGCAUCUGUUUAUAUAGGAAAGAGGAGGAUGAGGUAAAAAAUACAUCUGCAUUUCCUCAUAUUAGAAACAGAAACCAAUACUGGAAAAAAUCUUAUCCUUGAGGGGAAGGAGGAGUCAGUAGAAGGGCCAAGAAUAAAGCUUUGUUUCCCCUCAAUAUACCUUCAUUUGCAGAUUUGAUUUUGGCACUAUGUA